GACGAACGCUGGCGGCGUGCUUAACACAUGCAAGUCGAACGGAAAGGCCCUGCUUUUGUGGGGUGCUCGAGUGGCGAACGGGUGAGUAACACGUGAGUAACCUGCCCUUGACUUUGGGAUAACUUCAGGAAACUGGGGCUAAUACCGGAUAGGAGCUCCUGCUGCAUGGUGGGGGUUGGAAAGUUUCGGCGGUUGGGGAUGGACUCGCGGCUUAUCAGCUUGUUGGUGGGGUAGUGGCUUACCAAGGCUUUGACGGGUAGCCGGCCUGAGAGGGUGACCGGCCACAGUGGGACUGAGAUACGGCCCAGACUCCUACGGGAGGCAGCAGUGGGGAAUAUUGCAAAAUGGGCGGAAGCCUGAUGCAGCAACGCCGCGUGCGGGAUGACGGCCUUCGGGUUGUAAACCGCUUUCGCCUGUGACGAAGCGUGAGUGGCGGUAAUGGGUAAAGAAGCACCGGCUAACUACGUG
rnacentral:rRNA from 1 species